rnacentral:rRNA from 1 species
AUGCACGCUGGCGGCGUGCCUCAUCCCUGCCAGUCGCGCGAACAGACGAGGAGCUUGCUCCUCUGACGUUAGCGGCGGACGGGUGAGUAACACGUGGAUAACCUACCUAUAAGACUGGGAUAACUUCGGGAAACCGGAGCUAAUACCGGAUAAUAUAUUUAACCGCAUGGUUCAAUAGUGAAAGACGGUUUUGCUGUCACUUAUAGAUGGAUCCGCGCCGCAUUAGCUAGUUGGUAAGGUAACGGCUUACCAAGGCAACGAUGCGUAGCCGACCUGAGAGGGUGAUCGGCCACACUGGAACUGAGACACGGUCCAGACUCCUACGGGAGGCAGCAGUAGGGAAUCUUCCGCAAUGGGCGAAAGCCUGACGGAGCAACGCCGCGUGAGUGAUGAAGGUCUUCGGAUCGUAAAACUCUGUUAUUAGGGAAGAACAAAUGUGUAAGUAACUAUGCACGUCUUGACGGUACCUAAUCAGAAAGCCACGGCUAACUACGUG